GUUGACCUCGGAUCAGGUAGGAAUACCCGCUGAACUUAAGCAUAUCAAUAAGCGGAGGAAAAGAAACCAACAGGGAUUGCCCCAGUAACGGCGAGUGAAGCGGCAACAGCUCAAAUUUGAAAUCUGGCCCCUAGGGUCCGAGUUGUAAUUUGUAGAGGAUGCUUUUGGUGAGGUGCCGCCCGAGUUCCCUGGAACGGGACGCCGCAGAGGGUGAGAGCCCCGUCUGGCUGGCCACCGAGCCUCUGUAAAGCUCCUUCGACGAGUCGAGUAGUUUGGGAAUGCUGCUCAAAAUGGGAGGUAUAUGUCUUCUAAAGCUAAAUAUUGGCCAGAGACCGAUAGCGCACAAGUAGAGUGAUCGAAAGAUGAAAAGCACCUUGAAAAGAGGGUUAAACAGUACGUGAAAUUGUUGAAAGGGAAGCGCUUGUGACCAGACUUGGGCGCGGCGAAUCAUCCGGGGUUCUCUCCGGUGCACUUCGCCGUGUUCAGGCCAGCAUCAGUUCGGCGCGGGGGAAAAAGGCUUCGGGAACGUGGCUGCUCCGGCAGUGUUAUAGCCCGUUGCAUAAUACCCUGCGCUGGACUGAGGACCGCGCAUCUGCAAGGAUGCUGGCGUAAUGGUCACCAGCGAC
rnacentral:rRNA from 1 species